CACUCUUUUCCUAAAAAGAAAACAAAAACAAAACAAAACAAAAUGAUAAAAACCUGAUAGUAACCACAGUAAACUCAGGUUUCUUAGCAUGUUCAAAAUGUCUCUUUUUAUCUGUUAUUUAAGGUAAAGUGGGAGUGAAGCUAGAAUUCCAGAAGGCCUGGCAUCCCCAGUUGCUGUAUGAGAGCAAACUGUAUAUAGUUCUUCACAGUGCAGUUGGCAUUCCUCACAGAGGUUGUAUGGACAAGAAAACGCUAUAGUGUCAUGGCUCUUAUUGGGCCACACCCUGAAGAUCUCCAGUUCCUGUUCCAUAAGUUUCACGAUAACAAUCCUACUUUUGUCAGCUGAUCAGAAUUGAAUAUAUGCAUACAAAUAAUAAUGCUAUGCACAGACAUUAAACUAGAUACGUUCCUAAUGCACACUGGGUAUUACUAUAAUAAGUUACUCAUUGAUUUUAGUUUGACCAGAAAGUACAGAAGCAGCAGUACAAAGCAAUACAGCCCAUACAAAGAAGAUAAAAAUCUCACUGGCACUGACCAAUUCACUAGCAUCAAUGCACAUUUUGACAUUGAGCAGAGUCACUGAGAUUACAUGGAAUCUUUAGGAUAUGUCUUGAUGUAUUUUAAUAGAACCUGUCUGCCAGGCAAGGGCUAAAGGCUGCAACAAAGAAUCAAAAAUAUAAAGAGGUCAGUGAAAAUAUCCAUUUCUGUUGAUAUUCUGUGUAAGGGGUUCCUUGUAGAGUUUGCCAUGCACUUAAAUUACUUUCAUGGGCCGUGAUUUCAGGAAGCUCUGGAGUCCAUAUAUCUGAGGUAGCUAUUUUGCAUCCUUCUCAGGACUUUGAAUCAGCAACAGUUGACUGGACAAUGUAAAAGCAGAAACUAGCACAGCUGGCAACCCCUUCCAGUGGCCAGAGUCAGUAGGUCUAACUCCCUGGAGGCAGACUGCAAACCCCACAGUAGCAUGGACCAUGUCUAAGCAU
rnacentral:lncRNA from 1 species